GAUGAACGCUGGCGGCGUGCCUAAUACAUGCAAGUCGAGCGAACAGACGAGGAGCUUGCUCCUUUGACGUUAGCGGCGGACGGGUGAGUAACACGUAGGUAACCUACCUAUAAGACUGGGAUAACUUCGGGAAACCGGAGCUAAUACCGGAUAAUAUUUCGAACCGCAUGGUUCGAUAGUGAAAGAUGGCUUUGCUAUCACUUAUAGAUGGACCUGCGCCGUAUUAGCUAGUUGGUAAGGUAACGGCUUACCAAGGCAACGAUACGUAGCCGACCUGAGAGGGUGAUCGGCCACACUGGAACUGAGACACGGUCCAGACUCCGACGGGAGGCAGCAGUAGGGAAGCUUCCGCAAUGGGCGAAAGCCUGACGGAGCAACGCCGCGUGAGUGAUGAAGGUCUUCGGAUCGUAAAACUCUGUUAUUAGGGAAGAACAAACGUGUAAGUAACUGUGCACGUCUUGACGGUACCUAAUCAGAAAGCCACGGCUAACUACGU
rnacentral:rRNA from 1 species